rnacentral:rRNA from 1 species
CAAUAGCGUAUAUUAAAGUUGUUGCAGUUAAAAAGCUCGUAGUUGGAUUUCUGGUGGGAGCGAUCGGUCUGGCGCUUAGCGCGAGUACUUGCAUCGUCUCCGGCCAUCCUUGGGGAGAGUCUGUCUGGCAUUAAGUUGUCAGGCAGAGGAUCCGCAUCGUUUACUGUGAAAAAAUUAGAGUGUUCAAAGCAGGCUUAUGCCGUUGAAUAUAUUAGCAUGGAAUAAUAAGAUAGGACUUUGGUACUAUUUUGUUGGUUUGCGCACCAAAGUAAUGAUUAAUAGGGACAGUUGGGGGUAUUCGUAUUCCGUUGUCAGAGGUGAAAUUCUUGGAUUUACGGAAGACGAACUACUGCGAAAGCAUUUACCAAGGAUGUUUUCAUUAA